rnacentral:lncRNA from 1 species
UCGGGGCUGCGGCAAGCACCCGGUGACCUGUGUGAUGUGGAGUCUAUCAAUACGAAGCUACUUAGCAGAUGAAAUCCCAGCUCACC